UACGAAGGGGGCUAGCGUUGUUCGGAAUUACUGGGCGUAAAGCGCGCGCAGGCGGUUCUCCAAGUCAGUGGUGAAAGCCCGGAGCUCAACUCCGGAACUGCCAUUGAAACUGUUGAACUUGAGGACGAGAGAGGUGAGUGGAAUUCCCAGUGUAGAGGUGAAAUUCGUAGAUAUUCGGAAGAACACCAGUGGCGAAGGCGACUACCUGGUCUGGCAUUGACGCUCAUGUGCGAAAGCGUGGGGAGCAAACAGG
rnacentral:rRNA from 1 species